rnacentral:misc_RNA from 1 species
GCUUUUCCCCAUUUUGUACAUCUGGGCUAUUGGUUUAUUAGCUGCUGGCCAAAGUAGCACCAUCACUGGUACCUAUGCAGGACAGUUUAUCAUGAGUGGAUUCCUGAACUUGAAGUUGAAAAAAUGGCUAAGAGCUUUGAUAACUAGAAGCUUUGCAAUCAUUCCAACUAUGAUUGUUGCUCUUGUGUUUGAAACUUCUGACUCGAUGGUUGAUGUUCUGAAUGAAUGGC